rnacentral:rRNA from 1 species
CCUACGGGAGGCAGCAGUGGGGAAUAUUGCACAAUGGGGGAAACCCUGAUGCAGCGACGCCGCGUGAGUGAAGAAGUAUUUCGGUAUGUAAAGCUCUAUCAGCAGGAACGAGACAAGACGGUACCUGACUAAGAAGCCCCGGCUAACUACGUGCCAGCAGCCGCGGUAAUACGUAGGGGGCAAGCGUUAUCCGGAAUCACUGGGUGUAAAGGGAGCGUAGACGGCUGUGCAAGCCAGGGGUGAAAGCCCGGGGCCCAACCCCGGGACUGCCCUUGGAACUGCAUGGCUGGAGUGCGGGAGGGGCAGGCGGAAUUCCUGGUGUAGCGGUGAAAUGCGUAGAUAUCAGGAGGAACACCGGCGGCGAAGGCGGCCUGCUGGACCGCGACUGACGUUGAGGCUCGAAAGCGUGGGGAGCGAACAGGAUUAGAUACCCCAGUAGUC